UACAGAGGUCUCAAGCGUUGUUCGGAUUCAUUGGGCGUAAAGGGUGCGUAGGUGGCGCGCUAAGUCAGGUGUGAAAUUUCGGAGCUUAACUCCGAAACUGCAUUUGAUACUGACGUGCUUGAGGACUGGAGAGGAGACUGGAAUUCAUGGUGUAGCAGUGAAAUGCGUAGAGAUCAUGAGGAAGACCAGUGGCGAAGGCGGGUCUCUGGACAGUUCCUGACACUGAGGCACGAAGGCCAGGGGAGCAAACGGG
rnacentral:rRNA from 1 species